AGUAUUGCUGGGAUCUUUUUGACCAAAUCUGAGAUAAAAAAAAAGUUAUUGAAUUCACUUCCAAAAUCGUGGGAUAUGAACAUGGCUAUCAUCAAGAAGACAAAAGAUCUCAAUCAUCUUAGUAUUGCUGAUGUUAUUCAAGAACUUGAUGCUUUGAAGUGUAGAGAAACAAUGAGUUUUGAAAACAUUCCGGUCACUGAAGUUAUGUGUACUCCAACUUGUGAAGCCACGAUUAAAUUUCUUCGGGAACAAAUUGAGUUAUUUAAAAGAGAAGUUGAGGACCUGAGAUAUGAAUGAUAUCAACUAAGGAAAGGACAGAAACCCCUGAAGGCUGAUUUAGAAGCAAAAACCAAGGACUUUAGGAAACUUCAGGAAGAGUAUAGCAACAAAUGUGAAAAUUAUGAUUAUUGUUGGGAUUAAAACCCUAAUUGUGAUUUGAUGAACAAGAUGCGGAAAAUAAGAACAAACACAAUAAUGAAGAUUAUGUCGAAUGAUCACUCGAUUUAUUGAAAUGUGAGGAACAAAUUACACUUAAGAAAUAAUAAUCUAACUCUACAAGAAACCUCACGUGGCGGCUACAUUUUGCCACACUCUUAACCCUAAUAAUGAAUAAUACAUGACUAUUUAUAGGGAAAAGACAAGUCUUGGGCUUUUAACCUAGAAUUCAUCAAUGGGGCCCAUUGCCAUCAUCCAUGGAGUGCUUUGAAACCCUACAAUCUCCCCCUCAAAGUAUGGAAUGGAUGACAAUGCUUUAACUUCCAAAACAAGCAUCUAGCAAAUAAAAAGAUCUGCAACGAGGAAUAUAUGAAGCAAUCCACGAAUCUUGAUUCUUCAAUAGUCUUCAAACACGGGCUCUAGGAUAUAUAAAUCAAGCACUGAAGUAAUGUCUUUAAACUUCAUUUUCGAAUGUAAUCCCAAAGAAUCUUCAUGAAAACCAAACCCGCCAUAAAAACCCAUUUCAGAACAAAGAAACCGAAUCACUUCUUGUCUUUGAAGAGCUCCCCUUCCAAGUCACAAUGAUCUUCAAAUAAGCUAAUGAUAUAAGCCAUCAAAAAAUAUCAUGUAACAACCCAAACUUUAAGAUUUGUAAUGCCACUUGAUCGAGAAAAUACUAGAAGUCGGAGAUAUAACGAGUUCUUAGCAGAGCUCGAUAAAGAACUUCCGCUGUAAAGGAUACUUCUCUGUAAAAGCUUUAGCAGAGCUCGAUGAAGAACUUCCACUGUAAAAGCUACCUUCAUAAUUCUACCACAAGCUUUAUCAAAAAUCCUCAACUUUGAAAAGUCACAAAUCCAAUUUCGAAUGACCAUACCAAAUUCUCCCCCGAUUUAUAAUCAAAAACAUGAUUAUAAAGCCUUCAAAUGGUCAUGAGAAUGAUCUUGAAUGGAUAAAAAAAAAUUACUAAGCUCCCCCGCGACAAAACGAUAUACACAAUGAAGUAUAAAAUCCGAAAAAGUCGUGAAAAAUUUGAUGAUAUCACGAAAAACGACCUUCCGAACCGCCAAGACUUGAUGGAAUCAUUAUUUUGCUGUUCACCAAAAAAAUAUGAGCGUUAAAGAAUCCAAAACUGUUCACCGGCCCUCAAUGUAGUAAUUUUUCUGAAAAUUGGGCCGAAACUGUCACUUUCUGAAAGACAGGGGCUGGAAUGGUAAUUCAGCAUCAACAAACCCUUUUAUAUGUAACAAAAUCUGCAAAUGGUCCAAAACUGCCAAGGCAUGAAAAGUAUAGGGACCGGAAUUGACAAAUCGUAGGUGUUGCAGGGACAAAAAAGAAACUUUAAGUCAUCUUCCCCAAUUUAAAGAACACGACUGGAAGGUGAUUUCAAGCGAACGGGAAUUUGAGCCACUAUCGUUUCAACCACAAGCAACCGAACCAAGGUUCGUUUCAAGAUCGCCAUGUAAUCACGCGAACCGAACGUUCGGUUCGUUUCAAAUCAAGCAUUAUCAGGCGAAACUACUUUCGCUUUCGGUUCAUCCUUCGAUCGCUCCAACCAUUAACAACCGAACCCAGUUUCAAAAGCAAAACCGAGCAUCCCGAUUAGAAUAAGGAGCGAAACCUUAGCCAAGCCGAAUUACAGGUUCGCUUUCGGUUCAUCUCCUAUUACAGUCCCAGCAUAAACACACGAACACAAGAUCGAGGUUCGUUCCAUGAGCUGCUAACGCGAAUCUCCCCCCCUUUCGUUCCAAGUGCUAACAAAUGACCCCAAGUUUAUUUCACGUUCGUUUUGAGCAUAAGCCUUCAUACCGAGCCCUGAGUUCUGAACACCAAGAACCUCACCCAAAGCGAACCAAUUUCAAACACGAACCCAAUCACAGGUUCACUUCCGAAUCAAACGAUCUUGGGAGAAGAACGAGCGCGAACACAGAAUCACAAUCACCGAACCCUUAAUCUUUCUCUCAUGUUCACCCGAUUGAGUUACGAUUCAGAUCUCAUACAUUCUCAGGUAACGCCUUUUCUAACCAGUUUAGACUUGACAAAGCGAACUCAAUUUCAUUUGAACCAAUGUAUUAAGUCCCAAAGGUAAGACCCAUUUGGCGAUUAAGAACCUGAUUCCAAUUUGAUUCCAGAUCAACAACCCACAGUUCUUCGUUUGUAUGAGUCGAUUUUGACUUUUGAGGUUUGACUCACAAGAACAUCUGCUCAAUCCAAUCAAGAUUUUACCAACAGGGAAUCGGUUUCUAGUUCCGAAUGCUUCCAAAAGAAAUACCGAAUUCGCUACACAUCUUUUAUGCAUUCCAAUUUUGACCUAUUCUGAUUUCACUUUUCACAUCCGUUCGUCACCUGUACAUCACAGGACUUCAAAAUUUCUACUCAAGAACCAUAUAAUCGCUGCUUCCAAAAAUCGAGAUAAAUCACAACAAUAUCAUCAAACAAUAUCCAAGUUCAAAAUGAGUUAAUCAAACCGAUCUUAAGAGUGUGAAUGAGAAAAUCGAUGAAAGGUUUGAUCUUGAAUUAAACCACACACAAAUCGAUUCAUCAGAAUUGAUGAAGACAUAUCAAUAAUCCUUAGUCGACAGCGAUACAAGCAACGAUUGUUAAUCUUGAUUGAUCUUUGAGAGAAUGAAUAAAUGGGUGAAUUGAGCACGUAAAGUAAAUGACGCAAACGGAAAUCGAAUGUGAUAUUACAGAAAAAGAGUUGGAUCAUGAACAGUGAAUCGGCCAAAGGAUUGGGCCAGAUCAAGAUAAGACACGAAUGGAUUCAAAUGGGUCAAAACAAAUGAUUAAAAUCGACUGAUAUUUGGAUUAAGCUAAUCACCAGAUCUAAGAUGAACAGAAGAACGAAUAAAAAAAAUUAGAUGAACAGUGAUGAACAGCAUGAAUUUCCAUGAGCAGUAGCUUGAACAAAAUAUUGAUUCCAUACCGCCAAAACACCAAUAAUCUUCAAUAUAUGUAGAAAAUCACCAAAUCAAGAACCGAUACUUCAAAAAUCAAUAGAUUUUCAAAGACCCGCUCUGAUACCACUUGUUGGGAUUAAAACCCUAAUUGUGAUUUGAUGAACAAGAUGCGGAAAAUAAGAACAAACACAAUAAUGAAGAUUAUGUCGAAUGAUCACUCGAUUUAUUGAAAUGUGAGGAACAAAUUACACUUAAAAAAUAAUAAUCUAACUCUACAAGAAACCUCACGUGGCGGCUACAUUUUGCCACACUCUCUUAACCCUAAUAAUGAAUAAUACAUGACUAUUUAUAGGGAAAAGACAAGUCUUGGGCUUUUAACCUAGAAUUCAUCAAUGGGGCCCAUUGCCAUCAUCCAUGGAGUGCUUUGAAACCCUACAAUUAUGUUAAGAGACAACUUGUUGCUGUAACUGAAGAACUUGACGCUUUAAUAAUCAAGUGUGGAAAAACUGAUGUCAGUUUCAAAAAUU
rnacentral:lncRNA from 1 species